rnacentral:rRNA from 1 species
UACGGGGGGGGCAAGCGUUGUUCGGAAUUACUGGGCGUAAAGGGCUCGUAGGCGGCCAACUAAGUCAGACGUGAAAUCCCUCGGCUUAACCGGGGAACUGCGUCUGAUACUGGAUGGCUUGAGGUUGGGAGAGGGAUGCGGAAUUCCAGGUGUAGCGGUGAAAUGCGUAGAUAUCUGGAGGAACACCGGUGGCGAAGGCGGCAUCCUGGACCAAUUCUGACUCUGAGGAGCGAAAGCCAGGGGAGCAAACGGG